rnacentral:rRNA from 1 species
UACGUAGGGUGCAAGCGUUGUCCGGCAUUAUUGGGCGUAAAGAGCUCGUAGGCGGUCUGUCGCGUCUGCUGUGAAAACUCAGGGCUUAACCCUGAGCUUGCAGUGGGUACGGGCAGACUAGAGUGCGGUAGGGGAGACUGGAAUUCCUGGUGUAGCGGUGAAAUGCGCAGAUAUCAGGAGGAACACCGGUGGCGAAGGCGGGUCUCUGGGCCGUAACUGACGCCGAGGAGCGAAAGCAUGGGGAGCGAACAGG